rnacentral:rRNA from 1 species
CCAAGGGAUACUUAGUACGGCGAGUGAAGCGGUAAAAGCUCAAAUUUGAAAUCUGGUACUUUCAGUGCCCGAGUUGUAAUUUGUAGAAUUUGUCUUUGAUUAGGUCCUUGUCUAUGUUCCUUGGAACAGGACGUCAUAGAGGGUGAGAAUCCCGUUUGGCGAGGAUACCUUUUCUCUGUAAGACUUUUUCGAAGAGUCGAGUUGUUUGGGAAUGCAGCUCAAAGUGGGUGGUAAAUUCCAUCUAAAGCUAAAUAUUGGCGAGAGACCGAUAGCGAACAAGUACAGUGAUGGAAAGAUGAAAAGAACUUUGAAAAGAGAGUGAAAAAGUACGUGAAAUUGUUGAAAGGGAAGGGCAUUUGAUCAGACAUGGUGUUUUUUGCAUGCACUCGCCUCUCGUGGGCUUGGGCCUCUCAAAAAUUUCACUGGGCCAACAUCAAUUCUGGCAGUAGGAUAAAUCAUUAAGAAUGUAGCUACCUCGGUAGUGUUAUAGCUUAUUGGAAUACUGCUAGCUGGGAUUGAGGACUGCGCUUCGGCAAGGAUGUUGGCAUAAUGGUUAAAUGCCGCCCGUCUUG